CCCCACCCCCUCCAUCCCCAAUCCCUGUGCGGGGUGGGAAGGAAGCCCAGGCCAGUGACCCGCAGAGGGAGGGCGGGUGAACCCAGGGAACUGGAAGCAGGGCUUGGCAAGGGGCUCCCAGGCAGCGUCGGCUUCCUUGAAGACCCCCAGACCCAGUGCUCUGGGCCGGGGUCUCAUGGGUCACAAAAGUAGAGGGUGAUGAGGCCGGGCGUGGCUGGAGCCAAGGCCCCCAGAGGCUGCCCUGGAGAAAAGUAAGGUUGGGCCUCAGGUGGGCGAAGGGGGUCCACAGGCCCGAGGUCAGCCUUUGAAGCCGCGUGGAGACGAGGAUUUGGGCGUGAAGGGGCGACCCGGGACCUCACUGGCCCCAGGUUCGGGCCUGCAGUGGGCCAGGACUAGCUGGUUUGGCCUUGACCCUGCCCCACCCAGUCCUCGGGGGCCUGGGAAGGACAUGCAAGGUCUGGCUCUGAGUGAGGAGGCCGUGCUUCUGCCCUCCCCUGCCCUGCGUGUCCUGACACCCUUUUCUGGCUCCCCACCCCACCAUCCUUCCGGCCUCCAGGCCUUAGCGCACACCCCACCCAGCGUCCUUCCAGACGGCCCCUCCCCUGUCCUAUCCCAUUGUCUGAGGCGCUGAGGAUUCAGCGGUUAACUCUUAACUUCUCCUCCUUGGUAAGGGGUCUCCCCAACUCAAGCGUCUGGCAGAGCCCUGGCUCCAAGGCCCCUCCUUUGUAAAGCCCUGCUCGCACAGGCAGUCUUGCUACCCCCCAACCCUCUUUAAGAGCAACUCUGUGUCCUAGUCCACGUGGUGGUGGGACAAUUCUGCAUCAUUUCUACCCUCGAGGAUGCCCUCCCGCUGGAGAAAGACAGAGCGGGACAGAGUCCAGCCCCCUGCGGUCAGGCUGGGGCCAGAGGAAGUGACAAGGCUGAAAGCGGCCCAGAGGUGAACCAGGAAGGCAUUCUGAGGGAAGAAGGCUUGGAGACGUGGGUCUGUGCGAGCCUCAGAACCCAGACAGACAGACGCUGUUGCAUGGAGCAGGAUGGUGCCUGCACACAGCCAGGCUGGGAUCCAGCCCUGCGCCCAGGAGCCUGCCCCGUGCACAGUGACGGUGGAGCAGGCCAGGAAUCACCUGGAACCAACUGCUUAGACGCACAGCAGCGUGGAAGAUGGCUCUGGCAGCCAGUGAUUACUGAUGUCUGUCCGGGCGGGUGAAGGGGCCGGAAGUGCUCGUGUGCCACCCCGCCCUACACCAGGCUGGUGUGGCUAGGACAGCUUGUGGAGGCCCCUUGAC
rnacentral:lncRNA from 1 species